CGGGUAUUGGCGCAGCUUGGUAGCGCGCUCGGCUUGGGACCGAGAGGGCGCAGGUUCGAAUCCUGCAUACCCGA
rnacentral:tRNA from 1 species